AAUCAAUGUCAUGACGGUGAUCAAAAUAAGCAAUUGGCAAGGAAGCACAAUUGGGGGAAGAAAGCACAAAUAAAACUUAAACAAAAGCAGCCCUGUAAAGUAGUUCUACAGUCUCCAGCCCUGGUUACUCAGCUGAAGAUCCCGAGUCCUGUGACCCAUUUUUCAACAAGUGCCCAGGUACUCUAGCACUUGACGCGGCCCUUGUUGACCCGGGUGACAAUUGAUCCGAAGACUCUAGAAGGUCCUCAGCAUGAACAGUUGUUGGAGCCAUGACACCAUGAACCAGAAAAGAGCCACUUUUAUCUAAAGAGAAGAUAGACAGCCCAUUCCCUUCCCUUCCUUGGUUCUGUAGUAUUAUUUCUCUUCCACUGAAAAUAACCCCCACUUGAAGGAGAAGUGGUGGUUUCUUUCAUCUAAAGUCCCAUAAAGUAUCAAAGGCAGGAAUGUUGAACAUCUUUACCAUCCAGCACACCUACAGUUUAUUAUGAACAGGCUCUGUUAACAGACCGGCUCAAUUAGAGUCCUCUGCCUCCAUGGAUCAAGGCUUUGUGUGGAGGGAUAGCUGGAUAGGCAACAAUGUGGUUCCUGGAAGGCAAUGAAGGACCCUCUCCAAUUGGCAGAAGGAUGAAUAGCCAAGAGAUCAAAGCUCAGAACCCUGCAAGAGAUAAGGAGGCAACGGGCUUGACAGACGGGAGUGCUCAAAGGGAAACCGCCCCAUUUGCUUGGCUGCACAGAAAUAUCAAAUAUCAUCUGCAGGAAAGACAAGGAAAUUUGAAUGUUCAUUACAGUAACUAUUAUAGUAACUAAUUUUUGUGGAAUAAAGGCAUUUCAAAAGCAAGUAAUUUAAGGAUGGAGAAUCUAGGGUUUAGGACACAUGCUGAGGCUUCAGAUACUUGACUGAGAUUAUGUUCUUCACAGUUUUCUCUUGAAUGUCUGCUGAUAGGAUGUGCAGCCUCACUGUGGUGCCACUGCUGUAGGCAUGGAAGCAAUGGCACCACUGAAGAGGACAGCAUUGCUCUACUUGCACUACCAUAAUUUUCACAUUGUGGCAAAGGGGAGAAAUUAUCGUAACACUGGUAGCAUAAUCGCCAUCUUCCAUAGCGGCACUGCUGCUUCUCUGGCCACAGCAGCACCACUACUAUACCCUUGCAUCCUGUUGAGGAUGCACAUCAUGUCUGCCACUGUUUUUCUCUUCCUCACAGCAGAAUUAUUAGAUGGGCUUUACUGUUCUGACCUGAACAGUUCUAGAGCAUCCACAUGAAUGAUCCACCUAGUUUCUCCAAGCAGUAUAACAUUGCUUUGAUUUUGAGGCUUCGGCUAGGCAUUGCCUAGUCUGGGCAAGAUGCUAAAUUCCUACACACAUGGCUUCAUGCUAGUACUCAGAUUCCCCCAGAGUUGUUGUCUGAUUUUGCCUGAAGCAAAACCCUGAGGCAAAUUUGGAAGUUUCUGCUUGGGCAGUAAGAGUUUGGAGGAGACUAUAGCAACUUAUCAAGAUGAUGAGGCACCAGGAU